rnacentral:rRNA from 1 species
CCUACGGGUGGCAGCAGUCGAGAAUCAUUCACAAUGGGGGAAACCCUGAUGGUGCGACGCCGCGUGGGGGAAUGAAGGUCUUCGGAUUGUAAACCCCUGUCAUGUGGGAGCAAAUUAAAAAGAUAGUACCACAAGAGGAAGAGACGGCUAACUCUGUGCCAGCAGCCGCGGUAAUACAGAGGUCUCAAGCGUUGUUCGGAAUCACUGGGCGUAAAGCGUGCGUAGGCUGCUUCGUAAGUCGUGUGUGAAAGGCGCGGGCUCAACCCGCGGACGGCACAUGAUACUGCGAGACUAGAGUAAGGGAGGGGGAACCGGAAUGCUCGGUGUAGCAGUGAAAUGCGUAGAUAUCGAGAGGAACACUCGUGGCGAAGGCGGGUUCCUGGACAUUAACUGACGCUGAGGCACGAAGGCCAGGGGAGCGAAAGGGAUUAGAUACCCUAGUAGUC